GGUUGGUAUUUUGGGAUUCUUAACGAUGUAUUUCUAGAAGUGGGAUCACUGGGUCAAAUACUGCUCUUUUUUUAAAAAUGGAUUUUACCUUUAUCAUGAAAUCACCAGCUUUUUAAAAAAUUCAAGGCAUUUGCCAGUUUCAGAUUUCCCUUUAUCAUGGCCAGUACAGUAUUUCUGUUGUUUAACUUGGAGUGGUUUGCCACAGGAGCUCCUGCAAUCUCCAGCACUCCUAGGAGAGCCAUGUCAGUACUGACUAGUUAACAGGGGUGGGCAAACUUUUUGACUCGAGGGCCACAAUGGGUUCUUAAACUGGACCGGAGGGCCGGAACAAAAGCAUGGAUGGAGUGUUUGUGUGCACUAAUACAAAUUCAAAGUAAACAUCAUUACAUAAAAGGGUACGGUCUUUUUUUUUUAGUUUUAUUCAUUUCAAACGGGCAGAUCCGGCCCCGCGGGCCGUAGUUUGCCCACAGCUGGACUAGUAGAAACAGUAUUCACUAUUCUUUCCUUCCAGGUGCAUGUGUGGUGUCAUUUUCUUUAUAUCUAAGUCUCAGAGGUUAGUGGAGAGUUGUUCACUGGUACCUACUCAUUUGUGCCUCAACCAUUCUGUUUUUGUUGUGUGUUGAGAAGUAGAAUUGGAUGAAGACAGGAAAAACGUGAUUCUGUUUAGUGGGGAAUUCCCAAUUACGUUUUAAUAAUUGGGUUAGACUGCUAGAAAUUGUUCUGAAGAGCAAACAGCUGUUCAUUGCUUUCACUGAGAACAUGCCAAGCAUUAACAUGUCCAAGACCUUAACUAUUGGAUAACUGAGUGAUGAAAUGAUCAGCCGGUUCAGGUUGAUAACCAAUACAUGGCAGUCUUCACUCACUUAACAGGUACUGGACCAUCUACUGUGUGCAACACAUUCUACUAAGGUCCAGGAAUAUAAUGGCAAGCAAGGCAGAUGCAGCUCCUUCCCUCAUAGAAUAUCAGGAGAAACAGAUGCCCAUACAAUAAAAGUAAGAUCACAUACAGAAAAUUAGUAACUGUUGUCAGUCUGUUCCAUGCCUCUGGACCUGUUUUGUUAGAUUCCACAUGUAAGUGAGAUCAUAUGGUAUUUGCUUUCCUCUGACUGGCUCAUUUCACGUAGCUUAAUAAUCUCCAAGCCCAUCCAGGCUGCCACAAAAGUGUGUCAGUGAUAACUUAGAUGGAAAACUUCCAAAUGGUCAAAAUUGAGCCUCUCACUUGCUUUACGCAUUCCACUAGGAUCAUCCUUGGACAUUUUUCAUCCACAAAGAAGACACACUGUGUUAUAAAAUUAAGUUUUGACUGAGUUGCACCUUCUAUUAUUCAGUGAAAAAGUAAUGAGAUGGAAGUAGCAACAUUUUAGUCAUGGAGAAUCAUCUUAAUUAUACAUUAUUAACAUCUGAAUCUACCAGCAAAUUGCAACCUCAGGCUAUUGCUAAAUGAAUCAUCCUAGUUGGGAACAUACAGCCUUGAGAAGAUGUAUGUUCUGUUUUUAUAACCCAGAGGUAAUAUGCCUGUGUCAUCACAAAGGGGUCAUAAGUGGUGGGAGGAUUAGGCGAGGCAUUUAUAAAUUUAGUAAGCUAUAGUUCUGGAAGUUUGUAUUUUUUUUUUUCUGUGAAAUACCUAGGCUCAUUCAUUUCCUCCUUUCAAAAAUCAUAAAUUAAAAUAAAUGGGAAAGAAGCCAUUUGUUUUUUAGGUCACUCAUUAGUUUUAACCAGGCCUGGGGCAGCAUAGUUUAUUCCAGUCUUGCCAUUCAUUGUUUGAUUCCACAUUCAUUGCCCUGGAGGCUGUGGCUUGUGGUGCUGGCAUGCUGUUUAUUGCUCCGUGCAAGAAAAACAAAUGAAAACAGAAAGAGGAAUGCCAAAGUGCCUUUGUGGGUGUAGUCAGCAGAUUAAAGGAAAGCCAAGAGCAGCCUUGUUUUCAUCCAGCCUAGCGUUAGAGAUUCUGUAUAUUUUCCCAAUCCACAUGUGACAGGGAGGGAACAGCCUGGAUUUGGGUUCCUUUGUUAACUGUCUCUGCAUUUGAGUUUUAUUUAUUUCAAAAUAUGGAAAACCUGUUCUGCCAACACAUUUAAAAAUAAAUGGUGAAAACUUCCUUGGUCUCUAAAAUGUCCAAAAUGAACACUUUGGACCAGACGGGACUAAAGCUCAAAAAAAAAAAGAAAAAAAAGUCUAAGGCCAGCUUUGUUUUUGGACAUCUUUUUUUUUUUUUAUGUCUUAAAAGUAAUUAUGUAGUGAAACAAGUUUCUAAAAUGUAUUUUCUAUGCAUAUUUCUCUAUUCUGUCAGCUCUAAGAACAUCACUUAUGAUUUAAAGAGGAAAGAGAAGAUUGGAGUAAUAAGUAAUACUCCUCCACCUACAUUUAAAGGACUUUGAAUUUUUUCCAAAUAGAGUUUAUAGACCGAAACAACUCAGAUCGUAAAAGUGACAGCUCUAAUUUCAAGUAGAGAUCAGGAUGGUUCCAGAAAUCAUAGCUGGGGAGUUUCUAUCAAUUUGUCUUGGAAACAUAUAUAAUACCAAUAAAAUUGAAAAGCUUUGCAUUUAAUGUUUUACAUGGAUUUUUUAAAACUAAAAUUGCAUUUUAAAAAAUCCUCUGAGGAAAUUAUUUUUAUUGAUUUGAGAGAGAAACAUCAUUCAGUUGCCUCCUGUUUGGACCCGACUGGGUAUUAAACCCACAAUCUAGGUAUGUGCUCUGAUUUGGAAUGGCACCUGCAACGUUUUGGUGCAUGGGACGAUGCUCCAACAAACUGAGCCACCCGGCCAGGGCUAACAUUGCAUUUUUUGUCAAUUUUGGUUUCAGACUACAUAACCUACUUGAUAUCACAUGUUGGCGUACCACAAGGCCUACAGUUAUUUUGUGAGGCA